rnacentral:rRNA from 1 species
GAUGAACGCUGGCGGCGUGCCUAAUACAUGCAAGUCGAGCGAACGGACGAGAAGCUUGCUUUUCUGAUGUUAGCGGCGGACGGGUGAGUAACACAUGGAUAACCUACCUAUAAGACUGGGAUAACUUCGGGAAACCGGAGCUAAUACCGGAUAAUAUUUUGAACCGCAUGGUUCAAAAGUGAAAGACGGUCUUGCUGUCACUUAUAGAUGGAUCCGCGCUGCAUUAGCUAGUUGGUAAGGUAACGGCUUACCAAGGCAACGAUGCAUAGCCGACCUGAGAGGGUGAUCGGCCACACUGGAACUGAGACAUGGUCCAGACUCCUACGGGAGGCAGCAGUAGGGAAUCUUCCGCAAUGGGCGAAAGCCUGACGGAGCAACGCCGCGUGAGUGAUGAAGGUCUUCGGAUCGUAAAACUCUGUUAUUAGGGAAGAACAUAUGUGUAAGUAACUGUGCACAUCUUGACGGUACCUAAUCAGAAAGCCACGGCUAACUACGUG